AGAGAGAGACAUGCGCGCAUAUCAAUAAGCGGAGGAAAAGAAACUAACUAGGAUUCCCCUAGUAACGGCGAGUGAAGCGGGAAGAGCUCAAAUUUGGAAUCUUAAAGGUUCUACCUUGACGAAUUGUAGUUUAAAGAAGUGUUUUCUGUUGGAGUUUCGGUAAAAGUUCUUUGGAAUAGGACAUCAUAGAGGGUGAGAAUCCCGUAUUUGACCGUUACUUUCCAGCUGUGUGAUACACUUUCAAAGAGUCGGAUUGUUUGGGAAUGCAGUCCAAAAUGGGUGGUAAAUUUCAUCUAAAGCUAGAUAUUGGCGAGAGACCGAUAGCGAACAAGUACCGUGAGGGAAAGAUGAAAAGAACUUUGAAAAGAGAGUUAAACAGUACGUGAAAUUGUCAAAAGGGAAGCGUUUGACACCAGUGUUGUUUAGUUGAAAAUCAAUUAAAUAGUUUUCGAUUUUAAGUAGUAUUGACCUUAUCAGCUUGCUGCUUUCUUCUCGGAAAUUAUUUAAUGCACUUUUCAGUUAACAAGUCAACAUCAAUUUCUUUUGUUGUAAAAAGGUAAGAGGAAGGUGGCUUGCGCUUCGGCUCAAGUGUUUAUAGCCUUUUACUUCUGCAAUCGGAGAGAUUGAGGUCUGCAGCGUAGAUCCUUCGGGGUUAGAUACAUUUGUGCUAAGCUAUAGCCUUGUAUAGACAACUUGUUGACUAUGCUCAGUCAUGUAGCUUACUCGCUUAUGCUAUUUUACCUACGCUUAGGAUAUUGACAGCAGUAUAGACUGU
rnacentral:rRNA from 1 species